rnacentral:lncRNA from 1 species
UUUUUUUUUUAAACCCUUACCUUCCAUCUUGGAGUCAACAGUAUUGACUCCAAGGCAGAGUGGUAAGGGCUAGGCAAUGGGGGUCAAGUGACUUGCCCAGCUGGGAAGUGGCUGAGGCCAGAUUUGAACCUAGGACCUCCCAUCUCUAGGCCUGGCUCUCAACCCACUGAGCCACCCAGCUGCCCCCCAAAACUGUUAUUUUAAAAAAUCCUACCCAAAGUUUACAACUACUAGCUUUAAGCCUUUCUCUUGGAAAAACAAAAUGCCAGGCACAAUUAUCUAAAUGGGGAAAAAUGUUUAUUUCUGUCUCAUAAUUUGGGGAUCACAAAGAAAGGAAAAAUAGAUGAGUAAAUAUAGUAUAGAUUCAAUCUAUUCUAUAAUUUAAAAAAAUAAAGUUGAGUUUGCCCAAAUAAGGAAACUAUUUUGAUUUAUAUAUGGUAAGAUUCUUAUAAUGUAUUGCUGCAAGUAUCUCAGAACUCCUGAUUAUUGUAUAUGAUUAAAUUAAAAGCCAAAAAAAAUUGUGUUAUGGCAUAACAGAACUAACUCAGAAUCGGGAAGAUCUAGGAUCAAGUUCUGCCUCAAAUAUGAUCUGACUUGUUCAUUGACCCUAGAUAAGUCACUGUAAUAGAUGAUAUUUGGAGGUAUAUUUGAUGGAUAAAUGAUAACUAAUGGAUCAGGUAGUUAUCUUCUUUUGUCUACCCUACUCCCUUUUAUACUUCCCUUCCUCCCUCUUCCAAUCUUCCUUCCUCCACUCUUCUUCCCUUCAGUUUCCCUUCCCCCUUCUUCUUCAGCCUCCUUCUAAAUCACUCAGGGUUACUCAGGGAUGUUUCAGAGGAAAUACUCUUUUCUUUACCUCAAGUAAGGAAAACUUGAAGAAAACAAGAAAGAUAGAGGAUAAGGUGGGAAAUGAGGGAGGAUGAAACACUGGAAGAGGAAGAAAAAGUGAUGCUGGAGUACUUGAAAACAAUGUGUUUGAUCCAGAGCUCUUCUGCCUCAGAUAACCCAGAGGAACAGUAAUCUGAAGGGGAAAAAAAUUUAAAAAGGCAACUGUUAUAUUUUAGGAAGUCAUAGCAUGCCAUGGAGCGUGUUUCAUCUUAGAAUCAGAAUACACCUCAGAUGUGCUGUGAAGCAUGAAACCAUGCUUAAGUAAGCCUUGUACUGAAAAUGAGUAGUUAUUAAAGCAUAAGGAACAUGGUGGUGUUAUAUAUUUUUAUUUUUUAAAUUAUAGUUUAAAAUUAGCUUUUUAAACUUGUCUUCUUCUAUGAUAUGGUAGCUGCUACCUUGUCUUUUCUUUGAAUUCCUUUAUUUUUUCUCUUUGUAUUCUCAAAGCAUUUGUGAUAAUAGGCCAGGUUCUUGGAACACAUCCCUCUGGAUUGUUGGAUAUAUGUGGACCAUUACUAAAACAGAAUGAUAUUUGUAAAGAGAUCGUGGUCCUCCAAGCCCAGAAUUGUGGAGGCAUCUUCAACUAGUCAGCCACUGUUGGUUCCCAAAUUGUCACAAAGCUUUUCCUUUCUCCAUAUUUGUUGAUUAGGCCUCCAUCUUAAUUUUAUAGCCACAGACCUAGGUCAGUUACUAUUCUUUCCCCUGAAUUUCUACAACCAAUUUACCAGUCUCCCUGCCUCUGGCCUCUUCCUCAUCAGACUCUUUUUCAAUUCAGUAAAAAGAAUUCUUUUCCUAAGGUAGCCUUUGAAUCCAGACACUGUGUUUUCCAGAGCCCUGCUGUGGGCUUCUCUGGUUGUUCCCAUUAAAUUAAGUUACUUUAAAUUAAAUGAAGUCCAAAGUUGUGUUUUAAGGUCCUCCACCAGUUGGCCUCCCACCUUACCCAAUCACCCUUGUCUCCCACACUGACUCAGACUUUCUGCCAAAUAAAAAAGCAGAGCUAUCUUGUCCCUGAAAGCUG